rnacentral:rRNA from 1 species
UACGUAGGGGGCGAGCGUUGUCCGGAUUUAUUGGGCGUAAAGGGCCCGCAGGCGGUCCUGUCAGUUUGGGGUUACAGCUCCCGGCUUAACCGGGAGAGCGCCUCGAAGACGGCGGGACUGGAGGACUUCAGAGGGACACAGAAUUCCGGGUGUAGUGGUGAAAUGCGUAGAUAUCCGGAGGAAUACCAAAGGCGAAGGCAGUGUCCUGGGGAGUACCUGACGCUGAGGGGCGAAAGCUAGGGGAGCGAACGGG